UACGUAGGGUGCAAGCGUUAAUCGGAAUUACUGGGCGUAAAGCGUGCGCAGGCGGCUAUGCAAGACAGAUGUGAAAUCCCCGGGCUCAACCUGGGAACUGCAUUUGUGACUGCAUGGCUAGAGUGCGGCAGAGGGGGGAUGGAAUUCCGCGUGUAGCAGUGAAAUGCGUAGAUAUGCGGAGGAACACCGAUGGCGAAGGCAAUCCCCUGGGCCUGCACUGACGCUCAUGCACGAAAGCGUGGGGGAGCAAACAGG
rnacentral:rRNA from 1 species